GCAGAAGAAAAGGAAGAGAAAAGAAUGGGGGAGGAGAGAUCACAGCAAACAGCAAAAGGAAAGAAGGAAACUGGGUGAAAGGAGGAGAUGAGAGGAGGAAGAGGGCCCAGCAGCUGGAAGGCCCACACCCUACAGCUUUGUGGCUGACAGCCACUCAGUUGGGCAAGAUAUGGAGUGCUUGGAAGUUUAUCUCCUAAGUAAAACAUAUCCUGUGAAGUUGGCAAUCAACACCAUCACAAUUCCUAAUCUCCUAAAGGCUGAAAACAGGCUGGCAACUUUCCAAAAUAGCAGCACCAGCUAGAAGACAAGGGAAGACAUUUUAGAUUUAAACUAUAGCAUCACAACUGAACCAGCAGUCACUGGGUAGCUGAUGGAUGUGAUGGGAUGGGAGUAGAGACAAGACUGUCUUCUUUGAGAAUAUCAGCUCUGAAAGACCAUGAGAUCCAGUCACUAUGUUGAUGUAUGUGGGCAGCCUCAGUUCCUGGACUGAUCAUUCUCAUUUUUAGAUUGUGGGAUUUUCAAUCAACUACAGACUGCAAGCUGCUCCAAGCUAGUAAGUCCUAGGUGCUUCUGAUGGGAUUUCUAACAAGCCUGAAUAUCUGCAUCCUAGAUGGCUCCAAAGUGGUUAGCCCCAAGUGCUUCAACCUUACAGACUGCUCCAACAUGGCCAGGAUUUCUCAAGGUUCAAGUGGUCCUGCAGAGCCUGGACAGCAAGUGAAGUAGUCUUCAUUCCUCUCUCUUUCUUCCUGGCUGUGACCACCAUUCCAGCUUUCUUGAGUCCCUAACAAAGGGGCUGUGAUCUUGGAACUUUAGAACAUUUUAUGUGCUAUAAAAUUUUGAGAUCACAUGACUAGGGAAAAUGUGUCCUGACAUAAGACAGCACAAUCCAAUCUAUCAAUUUAUAUAUGAUUUCUCGUUUAGUGUCUUCCAGAAAACCCUGUGAGGUAAACAUUUAAUGCCCGUUUUACACAAAAGGAAACCAAGACUCUAUUAUAUUCAGUGAGAUUCAGAAGUCCAGUUCUUGGAGCUAGGAAAAGGUUGCUCAGGAAAGGGAGAGAAAAGAAAUAGGGUAAUGGAAUAAAUGACAUGAGAACAGAAAUGGGGACUAUUUGGGUGGUGAGGAUAAAACUAGAAUACCUCCUCCAAUACUGAAUUCGCAUAAGUGACAUUCUUUUCUAUUAUUAUUAGAUAUUUUCUUUAUUUUAUACUUCAAAUGUU